UCUAGUUUGCACAGGGCUCGCAGUGUUUG
rnacentral:piRNA from 1 species